AUGGGUGUUUUUGGUGGGUAAUUACUAUUAUCCUGCAAGCAUGGAUCGAUGGUAUUAAUAUUAUUGUUUUUUUUAUUAAAAUAACAUAUAAAAUUAACCCU